rnacentral:misc_RNA from 1 species
GAUGAAGAACGUAGCGAAAUGCGAUAAGUAAUGUGAAUUGCAGAAUUCAGUGAAUCAUCGAAUCUUUGAACGCACCUUGCGCUCCUUGGUAUUCCGAGGAGCAUGCCUGUUUGAGUGUCAUGAAAUUCUCAACCCCAUCGGUCCUUACAACCGGGUAGGGCUUGGAUUAUGGGAGCUGCCGGCGUUCCACAAAGUCGGCUCUUCUCAAAUGCAUUAGCAGGAUCAUUGCUCAAUCAUCUUUGAUAUGAUAAUUAUCUAUAUCAUGGAAAUUUGGCUCACCUGCUUCCAACUGUCGUUAAAGACAAGCAAUGACAAUUUGACCUCAAAUCAGGUAGGACUACCCGCUGAACUUAAGCAUAUCAAUAAAGCGGAGGA